UACCAUCAUAACUUAAUGAAAAAACAUGGCAUUAAGUUUGGUCAGUUUGUACGAGCUGAAAAUGGCAUGGGAGUUAGAAUAAGAAUAGAAAAUUUUGAAGAAAAUCGUAGAUGACCUAUAGGCUUUGCAUGGCUGGAUAAUGACACGAUGACAUCGAACGGUUGACAGUAAAGUCAAACCUAACGGAAAGUCAAGCGACUGUGCAAUCUAACGGAAAGUCAAACGAUUUCAAUUCGAUUACAAAUGGUACAUUCAUUUACAACUUUAUAAAUCCAUCAAAUUCAUUUAUUUAUCUUUACUCUACUAAAAGCGUCAGUUGGAGUUGCUACAGUGCUCAUGGGCCGGUUAUAGCGUGAUUUGUGUGAGCUUGAGGGGCAGUUGGGUCUUUUGUCAUUCAGUGGUGAUGCCUUUUGUCGUUCAGUGGUGUGGGCGACAAGAGAAAGAACUGCUGCUUUUCUUGAACAAAGAAGAGACCGCCAUGUGCCUAGCUGUCUGCAUGGCUUUGGAACUUCGAUGCUGUCCGCGUGGCUUUGCUGCUGGCUGCAUGGCUUUGGCUUUGCUGGAAAUUUCCUGCUAUCCGCGUGGCUUUGUUGUGGGCGGUGAGUUUGUUGUGGGCGACAAGAGAAAGAACUGCUUCUUUUCUUCAACAAAAGAAAAGACCGCUAUGCGCCUAGCUGUCUGCAUGGCUUUGGAACUUCAAUGCUGUCCGCGUGGCUUUCUUGUGGCCGGUGAGUUUGCCGCUAUGAGCUGUCUGCAUAGAGGCAGGUUUUUGGGAAGUAAGUACUGGCGCAGGGAAUGGAGUUUUAAGAACAGACCUAUGCCCUUGGGCUGUUGAACAGAAUUCUUUAAAUAACCCCAUCUCCCACUAUAAAAGAAAGUCGUAUUCAAACUCCCCUUCACUUCCUCUUCCUUUGGUCGAGUGAGCUUUCGCUUCCUCUCCUAACUAAACACUAACUUCAAAAAAACAGCCAGUAAUCCUCUUUUACUUCAUUCCUUUCCAAGAGCUUCACUCCUGCCCGAAGACAUAUAGGAUUUGAGUGAGUUUUGAGCUUUUCUUACAGGAGAGCAUACGGCCUGGCAGGCCUUCCCUUUCCGCCGGAGGGACGUAACUUCUUAUUACAAAAAAGAAUCGGAUGCCGUGGAACGAAGGUCCUUGCUUGCUGGCUAGCGCUAUUGCCUUCCCUGCUUUAUAAACGUAAUGAAAUGGAACAAUGCCUUUUUGUUCAGUUUCACUCUUGUCAAUGACAGCCUCUAUCCUUUCUCUGGAUCUUAUGAGACUUAAUGCCCAACCAGUCUCGAUUUUGGGACUCUCCCCUAAUUUUCGCUACUUUGAACUUAUCUUGUGUUAAAGGCCCGAGGUAAACCUCCUUUCGCCCAAAGUAUGGACUACUUUACUAUCUAGGAAGUAGUAUAGUUCGACACGCGUUGAAGAACUCGUCUCCAUUAUGGAAUUAUAGAGAUGUGUGCUUUGAGAAGAGAAGAUUACACGUAGCUUAUCAAUUACGUGUGUCAUGCAAGCAGCAGCACAGGUGUUAGUAAUACGAGCAAUUGGAACGUGUGAUGUAUUGUGAGUAUGAGUAAAGCAGAGUUUUGUAGUGCUUCUAACAAUUAUUCGUCUAUAUUAUAUACCUGUUUUGUUUGAUGGAGUUGAAUUGUGUCUUGAGUGCGCUGAAGAGAAGCUUCCGAAAUCAACGAGAGUGAUUGAUAGUAGGGUCUGGUAUUCUUUUUGUUGAAGUUAGUACUGGUUUUUGCUUGUUUCUCAGAGGGUGUAUAAAUUUCUGAUAAGCGUGGGACUGGUUGGAAAAUGGAUGUCAGGUCAACAGGCAUAUUGGUGCUUUGGUGUCUGAAUCGUGCAAAGUUUUUCAUAGAUAUCUUUCCAUACUUUGUUCCAAAAUCGUAUAAAGAAGUUACUUUGUACUUGAUUGUUUGAAUUAUAUUUAGCCGCAUUAGUCUGUUGUGUACGUAAGCCAGGAGACAGUUUUGAUUGAUUAAAAAUAAAAUUCAAUGCAGUGCAGGAAGAUAUUAGGAAUUUAAUAUGCCACCAGAUAGGCCUGGGAAUUCGAGGAAAGAAUGAAUAUUUAACCUCAUGGAUCGUAAAAAUAAAAGUUUCUUUCUUGUUGCAGUAAUCAGAUUCUUUAACUGAAUCAAGAGAUACAGUGAUCAUAUUUGUAAAUACAAAAAUUGAGAAUCUGGCCUUCUCUAAUGUAAAAAUAAAUAUUUCUAUGCUGUCUUGGUGAUCAGAUUGUGCAAUAUUUAUACGUUUUUGCUUAACAGAUGCCAAGCUGUCUUGUUUUUCUGUGAAGUUUGAAUUUAAGUGAGAUAUCGAGCGAAUUUUUUUUUUUUUAUGCUCGACAAUUUUGAUCUCCUCACUUAGAAGAAGGCGAUCAUAUUGCUGGUUCAGAGCUCAAAAGGAAGCAUUGAUUGUUCAUCAUAUCAGUAUAUCAGAAAAUUGUUUGUCUGUUGCUUGAUUAAAAGAAAGGUUAUAGAUAACAUCUCGGAAAUUGCUGCAUUAAACUAAUUGGAAUCGUGAGAUCAGAUGGAGCUGCUGGAUGAUAUAAAGAAAAAAGAAAACGUGGGCUGGGGAAAGAAUCUAGAGUCUCUCGCAUCCUCAAGUGGUUAUCAAUAAGUUUAAUUUAGGAUUGAUCGUAUUAGAAAUUCUUUUUUAACUAUUUUAGAACAAUGAGUUGUUGAUUAAAACAAAAGAAUCGUGUUCAUCCUCGAAGAUGGUGCUGCGAAGGAUUAGCAGUAGGUCUGAUCUAUGACGACAUACAAAGUAGUAGCUUGGACGAAGUGUUUCAUAAGAAUACAAGUUCUGCAAUUAUCCUCUUUUGAAAGCAAAGGUUCAAUAUAGUCAUCAGAGCUGCGUUUUCGUACUUGAAUCACAUAGAAGAGCUACCUAUUGUCUUGUGGCUAGGAGAUGUCAACUGGAAGUUCAAGCUCGCGUUCCAGGCAUUGGGACAAUAUGUGCAAAACGUUAGAAACGUACUUGGCCCUAUAGCUUCGGGCGGGUACCUCCAUACCCAUACUCUGAGCACUUUACUAAUCUAUAGUUUCUCAUUACAAGUUUUUCUAGAGAAAGUUUUUCGCACAAAUCGUUAACACCAAACUACCUACUAUCAAUUACAUUAGAGUAACACAAAUUUGGGGCAACCUCGAGCGUAGCGCGAGGCUAGAAAAACUAGUAUAUAAAAAUAUAUGAGCUGAUACAAAUGGAAAAUGUUUGUUUAUUUGUUUUGCCUGGAAAGGCGAGACCGUCGAGGAAUGCUGAUAGUGCACCGAGAUGGGUGCUCGGACCUCAACGUGGAUGCCAGUGGGGAUCCGACAUUUGUUUAUUCAUGAGGCGGGCGGCGCCGGAGUCCGGGAUGUUGUCCGAUCCGAUCUCGACCUAAACGCCCAAAACAAAGCACACUUUCGAGAUUUGAAUAUAUUAAAAUGUAACAUAGGACGGAGUGUUUGUGUAUUACUGUAGUUGAGAGCCGCAGUACUCUAAUAAUUCUUGCAUGGCACGACUGAGGAAGUAGUGGUUUUUUUUUUUUUUUUUUUGAGUAAAAGACCCGGGGAAACUUGAAACCAUCAUUGUUGUAAAGUUUUUGGCCCCUAAAUCUAAAUUUUGUAUCCAAUUGACCCCUGAACAAUUAAAAGCACAUAUAAUUUAAGGAUUUAUGGUCAUUUUAAACAUAAGUCAAGCUGGAACCAAAGGGUAUUUUUGUCCAACCAUAAUCGAAGCAUACGUAAUCAUCUCUUGCUCUUGCCAGUUUCAUCUUCUUCUAUCUUAAAUUUUAGGUUUUCUCUUGGAACCGCAAGAUAAGAGAAGCGAGAAAGGAGAAAAUGAUAUUAUUUUUCUACUUAGUUUUUCUUCUAGACUAAAACCCAACUUGGUAGUUGGGAACACAGGAAGAAAAUGGAAAGAGAAGCUGUGUAUGAUAAGCAUCAUACUAGCACUACAGAGUUCAAAAACGUAGGACAAACCAACAAUAUAGUGCUGCAACUCUCAUAAUAGUACUCCUAUUCCAUCAAUCUACCCAUGGUUCACAUGUCAUUUCGGUGCCAACCUCACUCUACACAAAAGAUGCAUUACUUUCAUUGUAAUGUGGUAUUGCAAAAACUAGAUCUCUUUCUAUUCUCAUUUUGAUAUUUUUUUGCUUAGUUGGAUUAGGCGGGAUGAAGAAAAUGAUAGAGGCUGAGCAGUUUAGCACUAGUUGUUGCCAGCAGAAGAGGAGGAAAAGAGUGGUUAGUUUAGGAGUGAAAGUGGUCGUUUUGUCCAUCAUUUACUUGUGUGGGGUUAGUACUAGUAGUGGUGCGUGUUUUAUCUAACUAUCUUGCGUUGCUAGAUUGAUUGAUAUUUCCUCUUCUCCAGGUUUUUAAUUCUGGUCCCAAUGCUUCCAUUAUGGUUGAACAAAAAUACCCUUUAGUUUUGACUCAAUUUAUGUCUAAAAUGAUCAGAAGUUUUUAAUCUUUGCACUUUUAAUUAUUUAGGGCCAAUCGAAGAUAAAAUUUAGAUUAGGGACCAAAACUUGACAAUAACGAUAGUUUAGGAGCUCCUUAAGGUUUUUUUUUUAAAAACUUUUUUUUUCCCUCGGUCCCAUCAGAAAACACCUGAUUCUGAGGUCGCAACCGUAUCAUGAAAACUAGGAGGGGUCACCGCGCGAGUGCGCGGUGUGAAAUUUUAAUUUUGCCCAGUUAUUUUUAAUGUUGCCUAAUUAUUGCCCUCUAAACAAAAUUUCUAUGAAAAAAAAAUAUAAUGUUGCAAUUGUAAAAGAUUUAAACUAAAAAAAGUUACAAUUACAAUUUGUCAUACAGUGAAAACUUUGAUAUUUGUUCAUAGUCAAGGAAUUCAUAAUAAAUAGAUGAAACAAUAAAAUCAGUCUUGCAAAAUCUCGAAACAUGAAGUCUAACUUUCAUGAUUCCAAUAGAAACAUAUUUUAACGCAAACCAAAAACAAAAAUUUCUUUCAUUCGUACUCGUCCAAGUCCAAGAAGUGUAAUGAGCAACUUUGGAAAGAAACUACUGAAAGAAACCUGCCAUGUAUAACACCGAGAAAGUAAGAUAUAAUCCAUCAGAAUUAGUUUACUAUAUAACACCAAGUUAAAAAUAAAUCAAAAGAAUUGAAUGAUGCCACCAAGGACAGGACAAAUUCAGCAAACAACAGCACUUGUGGUUACUCAUAGUCCAAUACAAAAUUUGUUACCCUUGUUUUUUUCAACCCAUUUCACAAUCAGGAAAUUUUUUUCCAUUUUAUUUGGCUACAAUAAUUGUUGAAGUUGAUAGAUGAAAAGAUUCUUACACGCAAAGCUAAAGUAUCUUGCUUGCUAACUCGGGUUCUGACUGAAGUGAAAGUAUUGGAUGUGCUACAGUGUUAGAUCCUUAGAGAGUUAGAGAUGGUACGCAAGUAAACUUGUCCACAACUUGAUCAUGCAACUAUGCAAUUUACACAAAAUGCCAAUGGAAAAUAAGGUGAAAAUGGAAAUAAAAUGAUCAUGCAAUCAAAUAGGCCAGGAAGAUCCUAAAACGUUAAAAUGAAGCAGAAGCUUCUUCAGAGAGGAUGUCUUUAUAUUCUAAUGACAUACUCCAACCCAAAAGCCAAAAUACAUGCAGCUCUAAAUAAGGUUAUGUAAUUCGGCUUUUAUUUCCAGUAAGGUUCAUAUUACUCCAACACAGGCUAACCUAUUUCCUUAUUCCCUUUUUCUUUAUAAUGACAAAAGUCAAAUCUUGACAAAUCAUUGAAUAAGUCAUGUAGAUAGCAUACUUAGCAAAGCGAGCAUGAUGUUAUAGACUUUCAUCAAACAAAAUUGAUACAAAUUCCCAAAAAAAGGGGUCAAAGAUGGAAUUUCACUCACUUUAAGCAUUAAAAAGUUGUCCACAAAGUGUAAUAGUUGGCUGCAAAAAGGCGAAAAAUGACAAAGUCAUUACCAAAUAACUAAAACAGUUUAAUAGAAACAGUCAAUUGACACCAUCUUACACUAAAUUUCUUACCUGUAAAGAGUUGCUGGCAAUAUCAACUUGGAAAAAUGAAACUUUCUAAGAACAUGAAAAGGAAGUCAAACGAUAUUAUCUAAGGACACAAUCAUAAGUUCCAAUGCAAAAGCAUGAAAGCAUAGAAUAUUGGACCUCAAGUAAGGAUGAUUACUGAACGGAACUGUUUAAAAAAACCUUGACAACCUCUUAAUCUGUUAAUCAUGACUUCACUGGAAUUUUAGGGAAUACUUUAAUAAGAGGCAAAAUUUUCCACACUCCAUUUCUCAAACAGCUCUGAAAUAGAGAUAAAGAUAAUAGAAAAUUACAUUUGAAAAUUUAAUCAAGAGGAAAAAAGUAUACAUCGAACAGGAAUGGAGAAACAAGCAGAUUUCAGAGAGAAAGAAGGAAAAAUAAGAAUAGAAGGGAAUUUUGAGACAAAAGGCUCAAGUUCGAGAGGAUUGAGCUAUGAAAAAUUUUCAGAUGGGAAUUGAUUAGUCUUCUCGGUGUUGAACCCAAGAAAAAGAAUGACUGAAUAACAAACCAUACCUGUUAACACCAGCUAUUACUUCUUGAACGAGUGCACCAAAUGUAGCAUUUGAAGGACCUAAAACGCACAAACAAAACCACAUAAAAGUUGUUGCAUUCUGGAAAUAUAAGCUGGGCAAAUAGAUAUGAGACCCAAAUUCAUGCCUUAGUACAAGAAGUCACGAAUGAAGUGGAAGGGAGGCAUCCAACCUCUCAAGUGAAUACAAAGAUUUCUAGCCUCGAACACUUAUAAUCCAAAAUAAUACUCUCUGUCCCUUGGGUAUGGCGAAACCUUCAAGAUUUUAAUCCACUUUUAAUUUAAGAAAAAAAAGCCACUGAGAUGUCAAAGUGAAACACAAGAAAAAGAACGAUUGAAUAACAAAGCAUACCUGUUAACACUAGCUAUUACUUCUCGAAGGAGUGCAGAAGAGAGGUUUACCAAAUGCAGUGUUUGAAGAAGUACCUAAAUCCACAAACAAAACCACAUAAAAGUUUUGCAUUUUGGAAAUAUAAGCUACUAACAGAUGUAAGACUCAACAAUUCAGAAAUAUCCUAGAAGUUGUGUAUGAAUCAGAAUUGUUCACUUUAGUAAAGAAGCAUUUUUCAUGUGAGAUUUUAAAGUAAAUAAAACAGAAUAACAAAACCGCUAAACAAAAAUAGGUUACGGCACAUAAGUUGCCAUCUUUACAGACUAUUAAAUACAAAUUUAUACACAAUACACAUCAAGUAGUCAGGACAACCCAUCAUUUACAAGCAAUAAUAGGCCCCUAAAGAAUUAUAGAAUGACAGGUUUGACAAACAAAGCAAGGAAAGGGGAAAUGUAUAAACAACAGAUUAUCCCAAAACUAUAUGCAAGCAAAGGAAAAAGAAGAAUUUUAAGAAAUCCACAAUAUCAUAUAAAAAUAAACUGCAUUUGAUUAUGCAAGGAGCAAACAAAGAAUGGAAGGUUGUUAGAAAACAAAUUUAAGAAAAUAAAAUCAAGCUUCUAAAUGCAGAAAGAAUUCAGUUAAGAUUUAAGAAUAUUAUCGAAUCAAUUUGCCAAGUGGCCAGGGAAAAAUAUGCAUUUACAUGUGAAAAAAAAAGAGCAUAGAUUUCAAGUAAAAUGAGAAGGAAAAACCUGGAACAAGAAUAGUAAGUUGGUAUUAGGAAUAAACCGACAAAUUAAAAUGAUACAAAUAACUAAUUCUGAAAAACAAAAUUACAGAACACGGAGAGGCAAGCCAAACCGGGAGGUUCAGAAACCUACAAGAUUUCUCAAGCCUAGGGUCAGAGACCUUGUUUCAGGAUUUCCUGACUCGUUAGCAAUUUUUAUACCUCAGAAAUCAUAUACCCACCUUCCCUAUCAUUUAAGAGUCCUCAACAUUGUACACUUAAAAAAAAUAUGCUUGUAGUAAGAAACCAUUGAUAAUAAACCCAGCAGGGCCUCGUAUGGUUCUACUUUGACCAUCAAGUAAGAUCACUUACUUCAAAAUUUUUCAAUACAAAAAAAUUAUACUCCAAGCAAUUUAAACUACCAGUAAUUUAAAGCAAAUUUUACUAACAUAAGGAUAUUUGCACUAAAAAAAAUUCAUAGUUGAAACUUAAUUAAUCAAAAGUGGAUUUAACAGAUAAAAACGGACACACAGAGAGAGAGAGAGAGAGAGAGAACCCUUCUGGGAAGCUUUAACAGAUAACCCUAAACCCGUCAAAUUCUUCUCUUAAUUCUUCAUUUAUACCCUAACAAUAACAAAUAAACAAAUGAAAACACAAUAAAUCAAUUCAUACAAAUACAUAAAACGGCACUUCAAAUUUUUCUGAAAGAUCCUAGAUCUCUUAGAGCAUAUUAGUUAACAAAAAAAUACAAGAAAAUAGAAAGUGACAAUUUUUUCCCAUCUCUUUUUCACAAAAAAAAAAAAAACUACAAGUAGUCCUUAGGCAAGAAAAGGGGAAAAGGGGUUUCCUUUCUAAAGAGAAAGAGAGAAAAGUAAAAAACUCUGACUUUUGCUUCUCCAAAUAACCCAUAUAAAACAUCAAGACACGAGAUGGGGUUCCAAAAUUCUAACCAUAGGAUUUAUGCAAAAUCUUGACAGUAAGGGCUUCUUUGGAUCCCAAACUCUAACCGGAAAGCUCUUUAACAUAUACAUUCCAGAGGAUUCCACUACCAGUUGCUAAAAAAUCAGGCAAUAACUUAGGAAGGAAAUAGAAAAACAAAAGAGACGCACUUUAUAAAAAAGGGAAAAAAGUUACACAAACUCACUCUCAUCGGGAUGCUGGAUGCUAAAAGACAUUUCCAUUUUUUUUGCACCUGCAACAUCAAAGAUAUAUACAAAUUAAUAUUUAAAAAUUUGACUGCUAAACCCCCACACAAAAAAAGAUCCAAAAGGCUAGAGAGAGAAAGAAGAAGAGAUUAGAAACCCAAAAAAAAUCCCAACCAUCCUCGUUGUUGUUGUUGUGCUCAAUCAAAAUCGGAAAGAAAAAAAAAAUGACGAAGAAGAUGAGAGAGAUGAGGGGAUAAUUGAAGAGAAAGAUAAGGAAAAGAGGGACGAUGAUGAAAAAAUGAAAGAGAAAAAAAACCGUUUCUUAUUUUUUUCAAGCCAACAAACCUCCAAGCAAAAUAUGGAACCAUUUUUUUUCUUUAUCAUUCUUCUGGGUUAGAUUAGCUUAGAAGAUAAAGGUAAAGAAAACAUAAAAAUGAAGAGAAGAUGAGGGCUUUCUGAAGAAAGAAAAAGAAAGAGAUGAUGAUUGAGAGAGGCGAUUGACGGAGAGAGAGAGGAAAGAAAGUUCUUCUGAAGCAUCGAGCCCAAUGCGAGAGUCAAAUCUCACCAGAAACUCUGAUAACAGGUCAAUCUGUCCACUGGGUUUCUUCCCCCAACAAAAGAAAGAGAACACGUUAGUGGAUGACCAAAGUUGACGCCUAAGCCACAUUACCAACACACCCUUGUUAAAACAACGAACCUGUAUAGAUAGAAGGACGUAAAUAGGUGAAGGCCAAAGGGCUACAACCAUAAUAUUAACUAAUCUCCUAGCCCAACGACCCAUUACCAAAUAACAACUCUACUGUUUGUGACCAAACAAAGAAGCAACCGGGCACCACCAACGUCUGACAAGAUUCAUGUCAUCAGCAGCCAACCAAUCACCCGGCGACACACCCGAGGACGACCACACCGACGUCUGCUACGUUUUGAAAGACACAAAAACAGAAGAAGGAACAGACGACGUCGUUUGGUUUAUCGGGGGAAGAAGAAGAAAAGCCCUCAAACAAAUACAAGAGGGAGGACAACCAAGUGCCAUAUCACCUCCAGCCAAUCUCCAGUUGCCACAUGGGCGGACGACCAUCCUAGGUGGCAGGGGGCGGUUCCCUCUUUAUCUAUAUGGUUAAUGGUUAAUGAGGAAAAUGCAAAGUUCCUCGCUGGUUCCUCCCGUCUCCCCAUCUUCAGUUUUUGUCCGAUUGGAUCCACAGCUUUAAAGCCUUGCCUUCAAUCAAAAGUCCAAACAGUCCUUUUCUAGCCAUUGCUUCUUUCUUCGGGUUGAUUUUGCCAUUCCAACUUGCUUAUGUAGUAGUAGUACUUGAACUCCUACAAUCCUCAGUACUACGCACCCAAAAAUCACCAAACAUUUCCCCUCCAAAGUCUCCAAUCGGGACCAUUUUUCCUACGCCAAGCUAUCUAAACGUCAUUCUCUAUCAACCCAAUAAAACCCAACUGGAAAAAAAAAUGGUUGAAAGAACCCAUCCCAAGAAAAACUCCAAAAAAUUCUCUCCUUUCUUGAAUUUACAUCUCUUUUAAAGUAAAAACCCAAGAGUCUGCUGAUCAAUAAUGGCAGAGAACCCGUUGGCCAAUUCCAAUACUUCAAUCCAGAUCCCAUUGAUGGCAGAGAACCCAUUGCUAUCAUCAUCAGAUGAUCUAAAGGAUACAGUUCUAGACAAGCACUUAGCCAAGCUGGAAACUUUCCUCAGAGUUUUUGGGUUCUGCCAAGACUCUCCUUUUGGUUCAAUUUUGUCUUGGCUGGCUUUUGCUAUAUUUGCUAUUUUGCUUCCCCUUUGGUCUAUUUACUAUGCUUAUUGCUCAAACUGUGAGCAUUAUCAGAUCAGAACUUUUGAGCUUGAAAUUUUCACCUCUCAAGCUGUGGUGGCUGCCAUUUCUCUGCUCUGUAUUUCCCAUAAUCUGAGAAAACAUGGUGUCAGAAACCUCCUCUUUGUUGAUCGAUGCCAUGGAAACACGGCCCAGUUUAGACAGCAGUGCAUCCAAAAAAUCAAAGUAUGCUUCUUUUGUACUUUUUUUCUUUUUUUUUUUUCCAUUAUUCUUCAUUUCUAAUCUAAGAUUGCUGGGUUCCUUAAGAAUUUAUUCUUUAGUUUAUAUCGUAGUUUAGUGGGUAGAAAGGCAUAAGUGUUGAUAGGGAAGCGGACGAGGAAGACAGAACUUUAACUACUGAGCCACAUGCCUUUUUCUUUUGUGUUUGUACUUUAACUUUACCUUUUCUUUUUAAUGGAUACAUCAUAAAUCUCGUUUCCUAAAAUUUUCCUGAUCAGUACUUUUUUUUUAGGAAAAAAAUUUUGGGUUAUAUUUAUGGGGGUUUUGGCUUUUGUUGUAGAGUUAGUCUUAGCUGAGUAAUUAGGUUCCAAAUUUAUGAACAGGUCUUAUUUGAGGAGGUUUUAGAUAUAGCAGCACUAAAUUGUUUCUAUUUUAAUUCUCAUUAUUUGUGUAAUUCUUGUUAUGAUACUUUCUUUGACAGUUUUUUCUAAGAAAAAGGAAUUAACAAAAUUCCAAUAUUCCUGAUAUAUAGGUUAAUCUUUUAUUUCUUUCCUUUCGGUGUAUUACUUAAUUGUUUUCUAAUUGUUCUAGUAGUGGGUUGGGGGAGGGGGAGGUGUGGAAGAAGCACAGAGAGGGAUGGGGACUUGAAAUCCAUCCCUUUUUUAGAGAUUGCAAUUAAGGCCCUUAAUUACUGGACUAUAGUGGAUCAUUGUGUUGUUGAACAUAUAGACCUGAAGCAAUUAUGCUAAUGUCCUUUAUUUGCUUCCUUUGACUUUUUUAUAAGUUAUUUCUCUAUCAAUCUGUCCAAUGUCAGUUUUGAGUUGCAAAAUGGUCCUACGAGGUACGCAUAAAGUACCUUUUUUCUCCAUUUAGUAUGAUAAAUUUAUCCGUUCUUUGUGCUGGGUGUGCGGUGGCCUGGUGGGCUUGUGGGGUAGAACAAUGUGAUGUAGCCUACCAAGCUAUUUGUACACCAGCAGUCCCAAGAGUUCUCAUGGCCAUAGAAACCUACAAAUUCCAAAGGAAAUUAUAAGAGUGGCAUACUUACCGCUUUUGCAAUUUUACAGUGUAAUCCAGUUCAGUUACAAAUAUAUGGACAACAGCUCUUGAUAAGCGAGCAGAAAUGAAGAAAACAUAGGUUGAUUAAAACUUAGUAAUACUUUAGGAUACAUGUGUCUAACUAGCCAAAACUGAUUAAACAUCGCUAAAAUUCCACCUUCAAGUGACUUAACUUAUGUGGGUGAAAAGAACUCUCAUUGUAAGUUUGUGGUGUCCCACAAACACGUCUUUGAGUUUUUCUGUUAUGAAAGUGACUGCUGAGAAACUUAUGAGAUUUCUUUGUCCUAGGUUGAGUAAAUGCAGUCUUGAAAUUAUCAGUCAAUGCAAAAAAAAAAAAAGAAGGCUUUGUUAUAUCCAUGGUCAAACACGGCUAUUUUUGAAGAUUUCUUGUCCCACUAAACUUAGUUAUUAAAUGUUAAGUUUGGAAACAAUAUAUGGAUCUGGUGAUUUGUCUUAAUGAUGGUAAAUUACCCUUCUUGAUACUGCAUCGAGUUUACCUUCAUAUGAUGUUCACAUGAAGAUAGUUCUUUUGGCUAGUAUCAAAAACACACUUAUAAGCAGUACAUGUAAUGGGGGUUGUCACUGUAGUUGAAAUUGAUGCACCAACUAAUGCAGGAAUAUAUUUAUCUUUUUUCCUUUAAAACUCGAGAGCAGAGGUCUGUCUGCAGCUUUGCUAAAGAUUGUGGCCUACUUGGUUUAGCCCUUCAUCUUCUAUGAAGAUUCAGUAAUGGACCAUGUCCUUGUUGUGAAGCAUUCUUUUACUAAUUCUCUUGUUGGAAAAGAAUUUAGAAUUUUGACCAGUGGUGUUAAAAUCUAUGCAGUUGAUGGUUAAGAAAAGCAGUUAUCUGAUUUAACUUGGUAAAACUGUCAAAUGAAACUGUACUCCAGUUGGUAUAGAUGGUAAUUUUUUUUCAGGGUUUAAUGUUGCUUGUAUUUCUAGAACAGUGUAAUUAAUGGACAUCGUUCAUCGCAGGGGUCUGUGUUUAGGAAAUAGAAGCAUUUUAUUCAUUGCAGACAUCUAUUUUAGAAAUUAAAGAGAGUCAAAUGGGUUAACGUACAUGACUUUGCUUCAGCACCUGCCAUCAUGUUCAUAGCUGAUGUUCAUUUUCUGCUUAAGGUAUAGUGUCAGAGUAAGAGAAUGAAAUAAAAGAAAUAAAAAAUGAUAUUUACUACCUACAUAGCAAAAGGAAGUGGAUGGGAAGAUCUUUCCACCCUCCAAACUUGAUAACUUAUGCAUACAAAGCUUUACUUCUGAUCUACAAAUUUUAUUGUAAACAGGAGAAACUAUGAACUUGUGAAAGUAAAACAUUGAUAUCUUGUGCGUACUAGGCCAAUUCUACAUAAAUUUAUGUGUAUGAAGAAGUAUUCUCUUGCUUCCAGGAUACUAGUUUGCUAACCUGCUUUUGUGGACUUUUCUUAUUAGAUCUCGUUGUUCGCUGCAAUUUUUUGGUUGACCUUCUGAAUUGAACUGCAAACUUUUGAACUAACUUUUACUUUUGGUGGUGAUUGCCCAGGCCUUUUACCGUUCAGUGUUCACAUGGGUCAUCAUUUGCUUUGUCUUAAAGACUGCUCGUGAGGUCACUCGUGCCGUAUAUCUGCGUGAUAAACUUUGGUGGUGGCCUGUUGUGAUUCUGGUUGCUUCACUUGUUUCUUGGACUUACUCAACUAUACUCUUUCUGCUGGGGACGUCACUGUUCAAUUUGGUAGGGAAUUUCCAAGUGAUACACUUCGAGAAUUAUGGAAAGCUUUUAGAAAGGGAUCUGGAUCUUUCAGUUUACAUUGAAGAGCACGUGCGUCUUAAAUACAACUUAUCUAAAAUAAGUCACAGGUUUCGUGUUUUUCUUCUUAUGGAAUUCUUGGUUGUCACAGCCAGUCAAUUUGUAGCUCUAUUGCAGACAACGGGAAACAAAGGAAUAAUCAACUUCAUCAAUGGUGGUGAUUUUGCAGUAAGCCAUUGUAGCUAGAUUAUCUUAUGCUAUGGACAUGGUUUCAGUUUUUAGGUUUGUGUGCACAUUUGAGGAUUAUAUAUAUGGAAACUCGUUUACUUGAGGAAUAGUCUUUGUCAACUUGAUAAUAAUUGAGUGCUCAAAGGCAUUUUUUUCCAACUUUUAUUACGUGGAUGAUUUCUACAUAUUCUAAAAUAAAUGGAAAGGUUAACGACAUAUCACUGGAUGAUGUCCUUUUGCUACAUAUGAAAUCCCAAAACUGUUGAGGUGACAUCUCAAAGCAAUGGUUGCUUGAUUUUCCUGAUGACCAACUUUUUUUUUUGUGCAUUCCGUUAUAUUGAUCUUUUUCAUGAAUUAGGAAGUGGUUUGGACUCAUAAUUGUUGCUCUUUUAUGACUGUAGGUAUUAUCCAUUGUUCAGCUUGUUGGAAUAGUGCUUUGUCUAACUGCAGCUGCAAAGAUGUCACAUAGAGCUCAAGCUCUUGGAGCAGUUGCUAGUAGAUGGCAUAUGCUGGUUACAUUUAGUUCUAAUGAUGCUUGUGCAUCUGGCAUUUCAACCAACGGUGGAAACUUGGAAGUUCCCAAUCCCAUGGGUGCAUUGUCUGUUAACUAUUCAGAAAGUGAUUUGGAGUCCAGUGAUUUUGUGUCUUUGCCUCCUCGACUACCACUUACUCAGAUGACAUCAUAUCACAAAAGACAAGCCUUUGGUAUGUAAAUAUGUCAAUGAUGCUUAAUUUUUCUAAUUUUUUGGUGAAGGAUUUUAUUCUGCAUAGUCCCUAGCAGAUUAUUAAUACUCUAGAACGGCUUGAGUUGGAUAUUGCUUUCUGAAUAUUUAGCCUCGUUGAUAGGCUUACUCAUGUUAAUAAGUAAAAGAACUGGAAGCUCUUGUGUAUCAUUUAUCAUGUUAACUCGUCACUAACGCUGUCAAACUGGUAUAUGCAUUCUGGAACCAUGUUCUCUGUUGGCUGCAUUCCUUCACAUCAUCUAAGUUUGGUUUAGUCAUCUUUCAUUACUAUUAUUAUAAUGCUUGAACUUCUUUAUCUUGGCUGUUAUGUUGGGAAUGCAUUCAUUCACAAACUCAUUCUUAAUGUGGCCUAAUGAGCUGCCAAACACAGCUGGUGUUGAAUCGAAAGUCAAUUAUCAUUCCUUGACAUUUUUUUUAUUUGUUAUGAAUGUCAAUGUUAUGUUUUGAAUAAGAUUUUUGAGUUUCUAGUCUAUUUUCCUUGUGAUUUUGAGGUUUAAUAAACUUGGUCUUGCACAGGAAUUUCUACACAGUAAUGUUCCUCUUUCAUGCAGAUCCAGUGGGACAUCGGUUUCAGUUUUGGCUCCUUACAAUCUGUAGGAACCCUAAAAAUGUUUUGCAUUUCUAGUUUUUUCGUCGCAAAGCAUCUUAAUCACUUUGCGAAAAUGGGCUAGUAUGAGUCUUGUAGAAUGUCUAUUGAACCACACUAACAAAUGCCAGUUGCAUGUCCUGGAGACGCCUUAGCUGAGAACAAUGGAGGAUUAUGAAUAUACGGUUUGUGUUUUUUUGUUACUACAUUUUGCAUAUAUAGUUUACGCAGUCCCGGAUACUACAUUUUGUUUCUUAGCAUCGGCGAAAAUGCAGUUUAAGAUUCCACUGUGAUGUGCUAGGUAUGUAAGGGACUCGUUUUAGGAUUGCUUUUGAAAUCCAUAUCUGGCUCUUAUUAUGGAGCCUAAUAAGUUGGUCCAAUUUUGUCCUUGGCUUCUUAAAUCCCUGUUACCUUAGGAUCUCCAAUAAGGUUUUAAAAGACCUUUCCUUUGCUUCUGAAUUGUAUUUCCCGCUGAUUCCUUUCAACUAUAUGCUUUUUUGCAGUAUCAUAUGUGCAGUCUAGUGCUGGUGGGUUUACCAUUUUUGGUUGGAUAAUCGAUCGGCAUCUCUGCAACACAAUUUUCUUCAUCGAGCUCUCGCUCGCCUUCUUUGUACUGGGUAAGACCAUCACCAUUACCACCAGAUGAUGCAAAUGCCUCGAAAAAUCAUCGAUGAGAACUCGGCCCCCAAAUUUUUUUUCAUAGUUGGGGCAUCUGAUCAAGAUCACAUUAACAGGGGUGAACUUUUCUCUAAGAAGGAGACUUAUCUUUAUUGUACCUGAGAAUUUGGUCCUGCUUGAGCUUUGGAUCAUUAUAUUGAUGAAGAACCUUGGUGUAAUCAGACACGGUGAUUGUUUUGGUUGAAACUCGGCUAAAUUGUUGAAGUGUAUUACUAACUUUUUGUCUGAUAUGCCAAUUUUCAGUCAUGUAUCAAACUCUUCUGUUCCCUGAUUCAAAGAAUGGCAUUUAUGCUUUGACAAGCCCCUUUUGUUCAUUUCUUGUUAAUAUUUCUAGGUUCAAUUAUAUUGGGUACAAUUUCAACAUUUAUUCCGGCAAGAGCAAGUUCAGUCAUCGACAUUUCUGUCGUCACAUCUUUUGACUGCCAUUAGACCUUUAAUGCAAGUAUUUGAAGAAAAAAAAAAAAGGGUAAAAAACAAAAAAGUCUCCCGUGGUAAACAUAAUAUACAGAAAAGCUUUUCAUAGUUUUAAAAUGUACUACACGACACCUCAUACUUUGAACUAAAUUGUAAAAUUGAUAGAAUUCGUUAAACUUAACGGAAAUGGAAGAAAUGAUCAAAAUGCCUUGAUAUAAUUAAGCAAAGACAGCUCAAAAAAAUCAUUUGUUUUAUUCUCUAGAUAGAGAGAAUUGAGAUAUAAAAAUUAGGUAUAAAAUUUUUUUUUUAGAUUCCAAUAAGUUAUUUCAGUUAAGUUUAACGGAUUCUAUCACCUUUAAAAUUUAGUUUAAAGUAUGAAUUGUCAUGUCGUACGUUUUGAAAUCACGGGGGUUUUUCUGUAUAUUAGGUUUUCCACAGAAGACUUUUUUGUUUUGUACAAAAAAAAAAAAGGAUCUUUAAUGCAAGUUUUGCUUCCACAUUAAUCUCCGAAUAAGUUCAGUUAAUGUUUUUUAAGUGGAACGUGUUGAAUUCAAAGUCUUGUACUUGUAAUUUCUCGUAUCUGAUCAUUCUAUUCAAUCCUUUUAUUAGGUCCAGUUAAAUUGACAUCGUAGAUAUAUUAAUUAAAUAUGCCUUAGCUCUAAAAUGUUGGUUGAUGUAGUUCUCCAAUUUGUCUGCUUAUCGUGUGUAAAUUUGACGAUUAGUGCGUCAUACAUGCUUAAAUAUUAACUUAUGGAUAUCAACUUGUUCAGUUUUUGGUUUAGCAUAUAAUAAUAGGACGAGUUUUACCUAAACCCUUGAGUAUCAUUCUUGUUAUUUUUUUCAAUAAAAAAACCAUAAUCUCAUUGUAAUAAACUUGCUUUAAUCUCAUUGCAAUAGACAAACAUGAAAAUCAAUUGAUACAUAUUAUCUCAUUGUAUCAUUCUUGUUAUUUUUUCAAUAAAAAAACAUAAUCUCAUUAUAAUAAACCUACUUUAAUGACAGAAAAUACACCAAACGUGUAACAGACAAAUAUUCUUGUUAUUUGUAAUUCACUCAUUUAAGAAAAUAAUGCUUGUGGUAUCUUGAAUAUGUGUACUAUGUAUACCUGGCAAUUGGCCAAUUAAUAUUGGAUUUUCAUUUAAAUGGGUUACAUCCAGCCUGCCUAACUUUAGAUUGGGUUAAUUUUGGAUUGGGUCAUAUUUGGUCAUCUCAAAUCCAUGACCUAAAUAUGACCCAAUAUAUUAAUUAAUAGAUUUUGAUACAUAAACUCUCUCAAAUAUAUUUUUACAUACAAAAAAAAAAAAAAAAAUUUCGCACACAAACACAUUUUCGCAUAAAUAGAGAUAUUUUCACACACUAAAACACUCACAGAUAUAAACGCACACUCACUUUUUAAGUUCUUUUGAAAUAUUUUACUUUUACACAUAUAAACACUCUAAAAUACACAUGUAUGAUAUGGGAGGAGAUGGGGGGUGUUGGCGUGGGUUAGUGGUGUCAGAAAUGGAUUUAGCGUAGCGUGUAUUUUGCAGUAAAAUGAAGAAGGAAUCGUGUUACGAAAGCAAGGGUAGUUGCCUUGAUCAAUUAAGAUUUCUUUAAUGUCCAACUCUGCUCUAGUCUAUCAGAACUGAGAAUGGGAAUGGCGUACUAGUACAACAAGAAGUGGGAAAGACACACAUAUGAUAUGGUGUCUACAAAUUUUUUCUGAUUGUUAUUUUUUCCCAAAAUUUUUUUUAUGUUUUAUUGAACGCAUUUUUUAAUUAUUUUGUUAUUAUAUAUAUUAAAUUGCUACAGUAUAUUUUUUUAUAAAAUUUUCAAAAAAUAACAAUUCAAAUGGGCUUAUAUUUAAUUGCAUGACAAAAGAAGAAGUAGCGAAAAAUAUUAUGGAAGUAAAAGGAGUGAAAUGCUCUGAAUAUAGGAAAAUAAUAAAACGUCGACGCAUGCAAGUAAGUAUUAUAUCUAAAUAGCUCAUAUAAUUUUGUUAAGUAUCCAUACAUGGAGGCCCUGUUUUGACUCAUGUCUCAUGCUGUUUCAUGAACAAUGAAAUAUUUCUGUACCUCAUAUCCCAUCCCUUAUAAUUUGUUUAUUUGUUUUUUUAACUUAAGCUGAGUAAUGGGUGCACAACACAAAUACCAAAACCGUCCAAAAUAUAUGUGGAUUUUUAUUAUCCAAUCCAAAAUUGACCCAAUACCCAACUUACCCAACUCAACCUCUCAAAUUAGUGGAUGAGUUUGGUGAGUUGUUGGAUUUUGGAUAUAAUUGCGAGGUCUAGUGCUAUGUUAUUGAAGAUAUGUUGUUUGUCCUUCAUUAAAAAAAAAAAAGAUAUGUUGUUUGUCGCAUAAUGCAAGUGAUUAGUGACUAAGUUCCACAAUUAAUAACUUUUACACAAAUUAACAAACGGGUCAAGGAUAAUGGGGAAAGCCACUGUAAUGGCACGCAUAAAAUACUCCCUGAGAAUAAAGAGAGAGCUAUUGCAGAUAAGUAUUGCAGACUAUUUGGCAUUUGCAGAUAAGUAUUGCAGACAUGGAUGACAUCAAAGCUCCAAAUUUGCUGCCCAUGAUUGACCCCAGUAAUCCGCCAAAGCACGCCUUCCAAAGUAGGCACAAGCAUUAAAACUUAUAUCCCAUAUCCUUGAAUUUAUCAAGAACACUGCCUGCUGAAUCAUCCUUUAUGGCUUUAUCAUCAGCUGACGCGCAUAAUUCCAUGAAUUCUCCUGUAUUUGGCCAUGAAGAUGACACCCCUUGUAGCUAUCCUUUGCUUCCCCGCAACCCAAUUCGUCAACCACCAUUAUUUAAAGGUGACGUGCCGUUUCUUGAAUUCUGCUACAGUUGUUCACUCUUUAAAACUAAUUGUACUCGAGGGGUUUGAGGAAAGGUCUGUGAGAGAAAAAUGCUGGGAUUUGGGACUUUCAGCCACUCUAUUUCCGCCGGAAGAAAAACUGGAAUGGGCUAUGAUGUACCAGAGGGUGUGGACAUUCGGGGUAGAUAUGAUCCUGAGUUUGCCAGAAUUCUUACCAGGGAUGCUUUGCAAUUUGUUGCUGAUUUGCAAAGGGAGUUUAGGAACCAUAUUAAGUAUGCCAUGGAGUGCAGGAAAGAGGCAAAGAUGAGGUAUAACAACGGGGCAGUGCCAGGAUUUGAUCCAGCUACCAAGUCUGUGAGGGAUGCUGAGUGGGCUUGUGCACCAGUGCCCCCAGCUGUUGCUGAUAGGAGGGUUGAGAUAACAGGGCCAGUUGAGAGGAAAAUGAUCAUCAAUGCACUCAACUCUGGGGCCAAGGUUUUCAUGGUAAGUUUAGAAAUUUCGAACUUCGGAUUUUCAUAUCUCUGACAUUGCGUAAUGAUGGACACUGAAAUUAUUUGUUCAAAAUUCGGAAACUCAGCUUUUGGCCGUAGUACUUAUCUUUUGACGUUAAUAUGGUCUCUGUAUUCUAGAAGAAUGAAAGUGUGCAAAUUAGAAUUGAUUGGACUAUAGUUGUAAAAUCAGACUUACGCAUUUAUCAAUCUCAGUUAUCAAUCCAUCCUUGAUUAAUUCAACUAUCUUCAAAUCCUCAGGCUGAUUUUGAGGAUGCAUUGUCACCAAGUUGGGAGAAUCUUAUGAGCGGACAAGUGAACUUGAAAGAUGCUGUUAAUGGAACUAUAAGCUUUCAUGACCAAGCUAGAAAUAGAGCUUACAAGCUCAAUGAGCACACUGCUAAGCUUUUUGUCCGCCCAAGAGGUUGGCACUUACCCGAGGAUCAUAUAUUAAUUGAUGGUGAACCUGCCACUGGUUGCCUAGUUGACUUCGGCCUCUAUUUUUUCCACAAUUAUGCUGCAUUUAGGCAGAACCAGGGUGAAGGAUGUGGUCCUUUCCUUUAUCUCCCAAAGAUGGAGCAUUCAAGGUACUUGUGUCUUCUUUCUCUAUGCUUUCUUCAGCAUUUGAGUAUUGAUGUUAGGAGUAGGACUUAAAAAAUUGAGAUUUUACGUCUUCUUGGACAGUUCCAUGGUCAUGCUUAUUUCACUGCUCUGCCAAUAGCUUCAAUAUUACUGGCAAUGCAAUGCUUCAGAUAUUUUGAGCUUUAAGAUUAAAUAGAGUAUUUGCUUCUCCAUAUUUUGUUGUCCGCCAUAAUAAUCAUAUUCAGUCCUUUUUUUUUUUUUUUUUUGAGGUUCUCCAAUUGUUGACAUUAAUAGCUUGCGUUGUUAUGGCUGUGAAAGCUUCAUACCCCAUGCCAAAUUAGUGGUUUAAUGUUUUUUUGUUGCAAGUGUCAUGAUCUUGAAUCAACUUGUCAACUUUUAAAGGAUGCAUUUGUAAAGCAUGCAUCUAAUAUCAGCGAGUAUGUCCAACUCUUACAAGUAGUUAAUUUGCCAACAGAGAAGCUAGGAUAUGGAACAAUGUAUUUGAGAAGGCAGAGAAAAUGGCUGGUAUUCAAAGAGGAAGCAUUAGAGCUACUGUUCUAAUUGAGACACUUCCUGCUGUCUUUCAAAUGGAUGAAAUCCUGUAUGAACUGAGAGAUCACUCUGUUGGCUUGAACUGUGGAAGAUGGGAUUAUAUAUUCAGUUAUGUCAAGACCUUCCAGGCUCAUCCCGAUAGACUGCUGCCAGAUAGGGUCCUAGUAGGAAUGGCUCAGCACUUCAUGGAAAGUUACUGUGAUCUACUGAUCAGGACCUGUCACAGGCGCAGUGUGCAUGCCAUGGGAGGAAUGGUAAGUGACAGCAUUCUUGGAAUAGGUGCAAUAAGCAAAUUUGAAUUAAAAGAAAAAAAACUAUGGAACGUAUUCUAAAUUAAGACUAUUGAGUUCUGAAACGUGGAAUAGAAGUUAGAAUUUGUAAUAUGUAGCAGAAGCCUGCCUUUCUUUUCUGUCUUAAUAAUUGAAACAGUUACAUUAUACUACCUCAUAAAAUUCAUAUAUUUUGAACAGGCAGCUCAAAUUCCAAUUAGAGAUGACCCAGCGGCAAAUGAAGCAGCAUUGGAGCUAGUAAGGAAGGACAAACUGAGAGAGGUGAAGGCAGGGCAUGAUGGUACUUGGGCCGCACACCCAGGGCUGAUCCCCACAUGUAUGGAAGUUUUUACCAACUACAUGGGCAAUGCUCCAAACCAAAUUGAAACUAUGAAGCGAGGAGAUGCUGCUGUCAUAACUGAGGAAGACCUCUUACAGAUACCAAGAGGAGUUCGAACCAUGGAAGGCCUUCGUCUCAAUACCCGAGUUGGCAUCCAGUAUUUGGCUGCAUGGCUAACUGGAACUGGCUCAGUCCCUCUUUACAAUCUUAUGGAGGAUGCUGCAACCGCUGAGAUAAGCAGAGUCCAGAACUGGCAAUGGUUGAAGUAUGGAGUUGAAUUGGAUGGUGACGGCCUAGGUGUGAAGGUGACCGUGGACCUCUUUGGGAGGGUUGUCGAGGAAGAAAUGGCUAGGAUCGAGAGAGAAGUUGGAAAAGAUAAAUUCAAGACAGGCAAGUACAAAGAGGCUUGCAGGAUAUUCACACAGCAAUGCACAGCUCCAGCAUUGGAUGACUUUCUGACUCUAAAUGCCUACAGCCACAUUGUCAUGCAUCAUCCUGAUGGAUCUUCCAGGCUCUAAAUGGUUCCUUCCUUCGUUCCCCUAAUACCUGGAAUAUCAUGUUGUAUUGUCUAAAAAUUUCCUUGUUUCUUAUGUUUCGAUUGGAAAGUGUUCUGCUGCUACUUUUGAGUUCAUAUUAUCUGCAAUAUAAUAAAUUUGAGUCUGUUUGGGUGUGGAUUUAAUCUCCAAACACUAUUUAGUUUGCAUUAUAAGCACAUUUUUCAAUUAGCUUUUAACAUUCUCGGCCAUCCUUUUGUCUCAAAUAUAUCAUACCACAAAAAUUGCUGAAGUGUAAUUCAUGUUAUUUUUCCAAGUAUCUCCUGUCGAAACAUACCCCGACAACUGGGGUUGAAUGAUAUGUCCAUGUGGACAACUGAAUUA
rnacentral:lncRNA from 1 species